GCGCAAGUGUAAUUUCCUGAUCCUGGAUCACUGAAAAUCAAUUCGUUGUUGGACUUGUCUCUCCAACUUGUAUAACUGACUUCUUGGAUUAACUAGAAUUUAAACAAUUAAACAAACAACUGUAAUGUUAAAACUGCUGAAAAUACCACUAGCGACGUGAAUAUUCAAAGAUCUUGCUACAUCCAAACCAACUCGCAUUAAUUGAUAACCUAAACCUAAAAAUAAAUUAAAUUAACUUAUUAUUAUUUUUAGGUUAUGUGUAGUAUAAGGUUAUAAUUACCAUUAUUUCUGAACUCUUUCUUAAUACAAAGAAUAUAAUACCUCAGAAAAGA